UUACACUCUUUCUCGCUGUAUUAACAAGAGGCCCAAGUUUUAGAGGCUGAGGCAGGCUGAAGCCAGGUAGCCCAGGUUUCAAGCACAAGGAGGACUCGGAUUUUGGCUGCUAUUUAUGGCUGGAUUUUGUAGGGGCAAGAAAAGGUCUUGUCUUAAAUAUUAAUCCUAAAUGAAAUGGGUACAUCUCUAGGACUGGCUACAUCAGCAGAAAGGAUGCAUUCGAAAUCAGAGGCCUCCAAAUGGAAGACAGUGUCCCAGAGAAAGUAACAAUUAAGCUAAAAUUAAGAUAUAAGUGGGAGUGUGCCUUGUGGACAAGGGAAAAAAGGCAUUCCUGGCAGAAUGAACAGCUCAUGCCAAAGUGUGGAGGUGCGAAGCCAUAUUGCUUCAGUGUAAUCAUACCACGCUAUUCAGUAUAAGAGUUAUACUUUCUGGUGUAACUCCUUCAAUCAGCAGCGCCCAUCUCUGCAUUUUGCACCAGAUGGAUGAACACAAACAUGCAGGAAGGAUCAUAAGGAACAUAAAAUUAGACUCUGCCUGGAGGAAAGAAAAAGCCAACACACAAGCAUAUCACGGGCCACCAGGAAGCACCCAUGUGAACAGACUCAAGUGCAGUCAAGCAUAGGAAGCAUUCCAAGGACAGCUGAGUUUCAAGGUAGGUAUUAAUAAAAUAAGAAGCAGGAGUGAAGAGAAGACUGGGACCCAUUGUCAAUGCUGCUGACCUUCAGAAAUGAACUAUUGGGACCUCAUGAAGAUAAAAAUCUGCUGCACUACAAAGGAAACAAUCAACAAAACUAAAAGGCAAACGACAGAAUGGGAAAAGAUAUUUGCAAAUGACAUAUCAGACAAAGGGCUAGUAUACAAAAUCUAUAAAGAACUCACCAAACUCCACACCCAAAAACCAAAUAAUCCAGUGAAGAAAUGGGCAGAAAACAUGAAUAGACACUUCUCUAAAGAAGACAUACAGAUGGCCAACAGGCACAUGAAAAGAUGCUCAACGUCGCUCCUCAUCAGGGAAAUACAAAUCAAAACCACACUGAGAUAUCAUCUCAUGCCAGUCAGAGUGGUUAAAAUGAACAGAUCAGACUAUAGAUGCUGGAGAGGCUGUGGAGAAACGGGAACCCUCUUGCACUGUUGGCAGGAAUGCAAACUGGACCAGCC